rnacentral:rRNA from 1 species
GUCUACAGCCAUACCACCCUGAACGUGCCUGAUCUCGUCUGAUCUCGGAAGCAGGGUCGGGCCUGGUUAGUACUUGGAUGGGAGAAAUGAGGAGGUGUUGAUC